rnacentral:rRNA from 1 species
UUAAAUUGAAGAGUUUGAUCAUGGCUCAGAUUGAACGCUGGCGGCAGGCCUAACACAUGCAAGUCGAACGGUAACAGGAAGAAGCUUGCUUCUUUGCUGACGAGUGGCGGACGGGUGAGUAAUGUCUGGGAAACUGCCUGAUGGAGGGGGAUAACUACUGGAAACGGUAGCUAAUACCGCAUAACGUCGCAAGACCAAAGAGGGGGACCUUCGGGCCUCUUGCCAUCGGAUGUGCCCAGAUGGGAUUAGCUAGUAGGUGGGGUAACGGCUCACCUAGGCGACGAUCCCUAGCUGGUCUGAGAGGAUGACCAGCCACACUGGAACUGAGACACGGUCCAGACUCCUACGGGAGGCAGCAGUGGGGAAUAUUGCACAAUGGGCGCAAGCCUGAUGCAGCCAUGCCGCGUGUAUGAAGAAGGCCUUCGGGUUGUAAAGUACUUUCAGCGGGGAGGAAGGGAGUAAAGUUAAUACCUUUGCUCAUUGACGUUACCCGCAGAAGAAGCACCGGCUAACUCCGUGCCAGCAGCCGCGGUAAUACGGAGGGUGCAAGCGUUAAUCGGAAUUACUGGGCGUAAAGCGCACGCAGGCGGUUUGUUAAGUCAGAUGUGAAAUCCCCGGGCUCAACCUGGGAACUGCAUCUGAUACUGGCAAGCUUGAGUCUCGUAGAGGGGGGUAGAAUUCCAGGUGUAGCGGUGAAAUGCGUAGAGAUCUGGAGGAAUACCGGUGGCGAAGGCGGCCCCCUGGACGAAGACUGACGCUCAGGUGCGAAAGCGUGGGGAGCAAACAGGAUUAGAUACCCUGGUAGUCCACGCCGUAAACGAUGUCGACUUGGAGAUUGUGCCCUUGAGGCGUGGCUUCCGGAGCUAACGCGUUAAGUCGACCGCCUGGGGAGUACGGCCGCAAGGUUAAAACUCAAAUGAAUUGACGGGGGCCCGCACAAGCGGUGGAGCAUGUGGUUUAAUUCGAUGCAACGCGAAGAACCUUACCUGGUCUUGACAUCCACGGAAGUUUUCAGAGAUGAGAAUGUGCCUUCGGGAACCGUGAGACAGGUGCUGCAUGGCUGUCGUCAGCUCGUGUUGUGAAAUGUUGGGUUAAGUCCCGCAACGAGCGCAACCCUUAUCCUUUGUUGCCAGCGGUCCGGCCGGGAACUCAAAGGAGACUGCCAGUGAUAAACUGGAGGAAGGUGGGGAUGACGUCAAGUCAUCAUGGCCCUUACGACCAGGGCUACACACGUGCUACAAUGGCGCAUACAAAGAGAAGCGACCUCGCGAGAGCAAGCGGACCUCAUAAAGUGCGUCGUAGUCCGGAUUGGAGUCUGCAACUCGACUCCAUGAAGUCGGAAUCGCUAGUAAUCGUGGAUCAGAAUGCCACGGUGAAUACGUUCCCGGGCCUUGUACACACCGCCCGUCACACCAUGGGAGUGGGUUGCAAAAGAAGUAGGUAGCUUAACCUUCGGGAGGGCGCUUACCACUUUGUGAUUCAUGACUGGGGUGAAGUCGUAACAAGGUAACCGUAGGGGAACCUGCGGUUGGAUCACCUCCUUACCUUAAAGAAGC